CUGGCUGUUUCUUUUGUUCAGUAUAUACGUGUGCUUUUUGUUCUUUUGUUCUAUUCACUGUGUGAGUAUAGUUUCUUGUUGGCACCAAGGUGUUUGAGAUGGUCUUCCUGUUGGUGCAUGAGAAAGAGGAAGUGAAGUCAUUGAUUUGUCCACCGAGGAAGAGGAAGCGUGAAGUCUUUGAUUUGUCCAGAGGGUAAGUCAUCGGUCUAUCCCACUCUUCCUUUGCUAUGUGAUUGUGACCUCCAUGUGUUAUCUACUUAUCUAGACACUUUGGUUCAUAUACUAUUCUUGUGAUUUUCCAAUGCUAUGUCAAAAAUGAAUCUGUAACCUUUAAUGAAUUCAAUGUAUGAUCGUGAUGAAAAUGAAUGAAUGAGUGAUAUCAUACCAACUUGUUUUUGCCCUUGAUCAGUAUCAUUUGUGGUAGCUCCUAAGCAACAUGAUCUUUUUCUUGCUCCGAGAUCCCAAGUGUGGUGUUGUACUUUUGUUGUGCUUGAUUGAUGUCCUGCUAGCUGCUACUGUUAAUUGUUACUGCCAUGAUGUUAACACUGCUUAGAAUAUGUUAUGCGCCAUAAUUCUAGUAGUAUUUGUUGUCAAAAGCAUGAUUGUAUUGUGAGCCAUCAAUUUCUUGGAGUCUUCUUAGAGCUUGCUGCUUGUGUAUUUGUUUAUUAUUUUGUUCAAUAUUCUUUUCCUAGUUGUUGUAUGUUUGAGGAUAUUACUUUCAUUCUGAAUUCACAGCUAUGAUAAUGAUCGUUUCCUGUCUUUUACAGGAGCUCCAGGCUCAAGAAGUUGGAAAAAGGGAACGCUUCAUCUUUGUAGCUAAUUAUAUGUUCCUGGAUGAUGUGAAUGGUUGUUAUAGUAUUUCAUAGCAGCACUUUUGUAGUUGUUCUAAAUUCCCGGAUGAUGUGAACUAUGGCAUGAUUGUA
rnacentral:lncRNA from 1 species